AUAUUAUACAACGGUAAAGAGCGCUAUGAACGAGAUAGAUUUAUUAUGAAUG
rnacentral:guide_RNA from 1 species